CUGUCAGCUGACUGGCCUAUGUCAUUAGGAACUCUUGUGGGGACAAAAUGGUUUGUGUUUCGUGCAUCGUGAUACCAUUUGUUUUGUGGUUCUUCAAUAAAUUUAUACGACCAUACGCAGCAAAAUUCCUGCCAUGGUUUAAAGAAUCACCGGCUUCGACCAGUACUAACACGGAGAGCGAUUCCACAAAGUCUGAUGAAACAGUGUCAAACGGAACAUGCAAAUUUGCAAAAAUGUUUUCAAGCGAAAAGACUGAUAUACCAAAUGGACAUCCAGUCACCACAGAAGUAGGCGGAGGAAGUAAAAAGGACAAUUAAUGGACAAAGAUACAAGUCUUUCUUCAUCUUGGGAUUUACAACAAUGUAAACUUCAAUAAUUUGCUGAAUCAAGAUGGAAUGAACAUUAAUAUCAUCUAUACUCGGCCGGAAUAUAAACAAUGGAGCCUGCAGCAGUACUAACAUUUUUAUUUAACAAUCAUCAAUAAAAAAUGUAUCAAGAUUGGACUACUGACGGAUAUUUAUGAAUUGGAAAACGUCUGACAUAGCCUUUUAACAUCAGUAAUUUCCAGUUGUGCACUUCGUUGUUUUGACUUAAAAAAUUGACAAGGUAGCUGUACAAUGUUUGUAUUUUGUGAACUAUUUUUAAAGAUUUCAAAAAAGGUAUUUCCGACAAAAUGUAGAGUAUGGCAAACAGACACUAAAAAUCUAUGUAUUUCAUACUGUUAAAUUAAAAAAAAAAAAAUUGGCUAAUAGGGGAUAUCAUAAUAAUUGAAAACAUAAUUAACGUGAAUGGGUACUUCAUUUCAAAUAAAAAACAAAAAAGUUUGCAUGAACAUACAUUUUCAUAUGUAAAGUCAUAUUAACAUAUUGUCCCAUUUUACAUUGUACACAUAUUUUAUUUGGGAUUCUUGAUGAAACUGAUCCUGUGAUGUAAUAUAAGUACAUGUGUACUAACAUUUUAUGAUGAUCUGAUUAUUUGUGAUUUUUUUUGUUGUUGUUUUAUAUUAUUAAUUUGGUUAAUAGAUAUAUUAAAAAAUGUGUAGAAUUAUGAGAUUGGGUUCUUUUACUCAAGAUAUCACUACACUUUGAACAGGGUCUUGUUAGUUAAAAAUAGGGAAGAUCUAGGAUGCUGCACCCCUGAAUUAUUCAGCCUCGGGCUUGUGGUCACAUGAUGCCAUCCAUCACUUCUCAGAACCAGAUCAGUAUAUCGGCUCAUCCUAUAAAUGAUCCCAGCUCUCGGUCACCUCUAUGUACAGAAAGCAGGUUAAUGUAACGCUGUAUGUUAAGAUGGGCAGCGGGGAAAAGUGAAAAAAUAUAAUGUACAACCAAAAUAUCUCUGAUUUAAAAGAGAAUUGUUGUGCUUUUACUGAUGUCAGUCAAUCCCUAUAAAAUCUUGAAUUUAGAAUGAUGAAAAUAAAAUUGAUAUUUUCGAUCUUUUCAAUACAGGAGGUAUGUCUGAUUCUAGAACCUGAUCUCAAUUGAUAACAAUCUUUCCCCCAUAAUGACACUGUAUGACACAAGUCUGUAUUAUACACAUACAAAACAUAUGUCCAUUGGUUUGGAAAAUGAACCAUAUGGUGUCAUUAUGGGGAAACAAGUUUUGAUUGAAGUUUCAUAUUAGGGAGAGGUAAAUCGGUGAAAGAAUGCUUUACAAAAACUUUCUGAGUGGAAAUGUGUAAUAUCCCACAAUUCAUCAUAAUCAUACAGGAGCUGGAUGAUGUUUGUGACGUCGAGUCACCUGUUUGGUUCGAGUCACCCUGACAUUGUAAUUGUGAAAUACUUUGUUGUACAGUCAAUUGAACAUGUUGUAUAUUAUUUGUUUUCAGAAUAAAUUAUUCAAGGUGUGUAUAGUA